rnacentral:rRNA from 1 species
UACGUAGGGGGCGAGCGUUGUCCGGAGUUACUGGGCGUAAAGGGCGCGUAGGCGGUCAGCACAAGUCAGUUGUGAAAUCUCCGGGCUUAACUCGGAAAGGUCAACUGAUACUGUGCGACUAGAGUGCGGAAGGGGCAACUGGAAUUCUCGGUGUAGCGGUGAAAUGCGUAGAUAUCGAGAGGAACACCUGCGGCGAAGGCGGGUUGCUGGGCCGACACUGACGCUGAUGCGCGAAAGCCAGGGGAGCGAACGGG